UACGGAGGGAGCUAGCGUUGUUCGGAAAUACUGGGCGUAAAGCGCACGUAGGCGGCGCAGCAAGUCAGGGGUGAAAUCCCGGGGCUCAACCCCGGAACUGCCCUUGAAACUGCAGUGCUAGAAUUCUGGAGAGGCGAGUGGAAUUCCGAGUGUAGAGGUGAAAUUCGUAGAUAUUCGGAAGAACACCAGUGGCGAAGGCGGCUCACUGGCCCGGUACUGACGCUGAGAUACGAAAGCGUGGGGAGCAAACAGG
rnacentral:rRNA from 1 species